rnacentral:rRNA from 1 species
CCGUGCCAGCAGCCGCGGUAAUACGGAGGGUGCGAGCGUUAAUCGGAAUUACUGGGCGUAAAGCGCAUGCAGGUGGUUUGUUAAGUCAGAUGUGAAAGCCCGGGGCUCAACCUCGGAAUUGCAUUUGAAACUGGCAGACUAGAGUACUGUAGAGGGGGGUAGAAUUUCAGGUGUAGCGGUGAAAUGCGUAGAGAUCUGAAGGAAUACCGGUGGCGAAGGCGGCCCCCUGGACAGAUACUGACACUCAGAUGCGAAAGCGUGGGGAGCAAACAGGAUUAGAUACCCUGGUAGUCCACGCCGUAAACGAUGUCUACUUGGAGGUUGUGGCCUUGAGCCGUGGCUUUCGGAGCUAACGCGUUAAGUAGACCGCCUGGGGAGUACGGUCGCAAGAUUAAAACUCAAAUGAAUUGACGGGGGCCCGCACAAGCGGUGGAGCAUGUGGUUUAAUUCGAUGCAACGCGAAGAACCUUACCUACUCUUGACAUCCAGAGAACUUUCCAGAGAUGGAUUGGUGCCUUCGGGAACUCUGAGACAGGUGCUGCAUGGCUGUCGUCAGCUCGUGUUGUGAAAUGUUGGGUUAAGUCCCGCAACGAGCGCAACCCUUAUCCUUGUUUGCCAGCGAGUAAUGUCGGGAACUCCAGGGAGACUGCCGGUGAUAAACCGGAGGAAGGUGGGGACGACGUCAAGUCAUCAUGGCCCUUACGAGUAGGGCUACACACGUGCUACAAUGGCGCAUACAGAGGGCAGCCAACUUGCGAAAGUGAGCGAAUCCCAAAAAGUGCGUCGUAGUCCGGAUUGGAGUCUGCAACUCGACUCCAUGAAGUCGGAAUCGCUAGUAAUCGUGGAUCAGAAUGCCACGGUGAAUACGUUCCCGGGCCUUGUACACACCGCCCGUCACACCAUGGGAGUGGGCUGCAAAAGAAGUAGGUAGUUUAACCUUCGGGGGGACGCUUACCACUUUGUGGUUCAUGACUGGGGUGAAGUCGUAACAAGGUAGCGCUAGGGGAACCUGGCGCUGGAUCACCUCCUUA